rnacentral:rRNA from 1 species
GCCUCGUAGCGGCGAGUGAGCGGCAGAGCUCAGAUUUGAAAUCGUGCUUUGCGCGCACGAGUUGUAGAUUGCAGGUUGGAGUCUGUGUGGAAGGCGGUGUCCAAGUCCCUUGGAACAGGGCGCCCAGGAGGGUGAGAGCCCCGUGGGAUGCCGGCGGAAGCAGUGAGGCCCUUCUGACGAGUCGAGUUGUUUGGGAAUGCAGCUCCAAGCGGGUGGUAAAUUCCAUCUAAGGCUAAAUACUGGCGAGAGACCGAUAGCGAACAAGUACUGUGAAGGAAAGAUGAAAAGCACUUUGAAAAGAGAGUGAAACAGCACGUGAAAUUGUUGAAAGGGAAGGGUAUUGCGCCCGACAUGGGGAUUGCGCACCG